rnacentral:rRNA from 1 species
UAGGGAAUCUUCCGCAAUGGACGAAAGUCUGACGGAGCAACGCCGCGUGAGUGAAGAAGGAUUUCGGUUCGUAAAACUCUGUUGUUAGGGAAGAAAAAAUGUAUAGUAACUAUAUACAAAAGAGACGGUACCUAACCAGAAAGCCACGGCUAACUACGUGCCAGCAGCCGCGGUAAUACGUAGGUGGCAAGCGUUGUCCGGAAUUAUUGGGCGUAAAGCGCGCGCAGGUGGUUUAGAAAGUCUGAUGUGAAAGCCCACGGCUCAACCGUGGAGGGUCAUUGGAAACUAAUAAACUUGAGUGCAGGAGAGAAAAGUGGAAUUCCUAGUGUAGCGGUGAAAUGCGUAGAGAUUAGGAGGAUCACCGGUGGCGAAAGCGGCUUUUUGGCCUGCAACUGACACUGAGGCGCGAAAGCGUGGGGAGCAAACAGG